rnacentral:rRNA from 1 species
GUGCCAGCCGCCGCGGUAAUACGUAGGGUGCAAGCGUUAAUCGGAAUUACUGGGCGUAAAGCGUGCGCAGGCGGUCCGCUAAGACCGAUGUGAAAUCCCCGGGCUUAACCUGGGAACUGCAUUGGUGACUGGCGGGCUAGAGUAUGGCAGAGGGGGGUAGAAUUCCACGUGUAGCAGUGAAAUGCGUAGAGAUGUGGAGGAAUACCGAUGGCGAAGGCAGCCCCCUGGGCCAAUACUGACGCUCAUGCACGAAAGCGUGGGGAGCAAACAGGAUUAGAUACCCUGGUAGUCCACGCCCUAAACGAUGUCAACUAGUUGUUGGGGAUUCAUUUCCUUAGUAACGAAGCUAACGCGUGAAGUUGACCGCCUGGGGAGUACGGUCGCAAGAUUAAA